rnacentral:rRNA from 1 species
AGUGAACGCUGGCGGUAGGCCUAACACAUGCAAGUCGAACGGCAGCACAGUAAGAGCUUGCUCUUACGGGUGGCGAGUGGCGGACGGGUGAGGAAUACAUCGGAAUCUACUUUUUCGUGGGGGAUAACGUAGGGAAACUUACGCUAAUACCGCAUACGACCUACGGGUGAAAGCAGGGGAUCUUCGGACCUUGCGCGAUUGAAUGAGCCGAUGUCGGAUUAGCUAGUUGGCGGGGUAAAGGCCCACCAAGGCGACGAUCCGUAGCUGGUCUGAGAGGAUGAUCAGCCACACUGGAACCGAGACACGGUCCAGACUCCUACGGGAGGCAGCAGUGGGGAAUAUUGGACAAUGGGCGCAAGCCUGAUCCAGCCAUACCGCGUGGGUGAAGAAGGCCUUCGGGUUGUAAAGCCCUUUUGUUGGGAAAGAAAGGCAGCAGGUUAAUACCCCGCUGUUCUGACGGUACCCAAAGAAUAAGCACCGGCUAACUUCGUG